GACGAACGCUGGCGGCGUGCCUAAUACAUGCAAGUCGAGCGGACCAAAGGGAGCUUGCUCCUGGAGGUCAGCGGCGAACGGGUGAGUAACACGUGGGCAACCUGCCUGUAAGACUGGGAUAACAUCGAGAAAUCGGUGCUAAUACCGGAUAAUAAAAAGAACUGCAUGGUUCUUUUUUGAAAGAUGGUUUCGGCUAUCACUUACAGAUGGGCCCGCGGCGCAUUAGCUAGUUGGUGAGGUAACGGCUCACCAAGGCAACGAUGCGUAGCCGACCUGAGAGGGUGAUCGGCCACACUGGGACUGAGACACGGCCCAGACUCCUACGGGAGGCAGCAGUAGGGAAUCUUCCGCAAUGGACGAAAGUCUGACGGAGCAACGCCGCGUGAGUGAUGAAGGUUUUCGGAUCGUAAAACUCUGUUGUUAGGGAAGAACAAGUGCCGUUCGAAAGGGCGGCACCUUGACGGUACCUAACGAGAAAGCCACGGCUAACUACGUGCCAG
rnacentral:rRNA from 1 species